AUAUGUUGCUCUUAAAAUAGCUUGUACAUGAUAUAUAUUUAGAAUACUUUAUUAAUUUUUCAAUUAGAUAAGCUAUAUAUAUGUUCUUAGCAAAAACUA